AUUGAACGCUGGCGGAAUGCUUUACACAUGCAAGUCGAACGGCAGCACGGGUGCUUGCACCUGGUGGCGAGUGGCGAACGGGUGAGUAAUACAUCGGAACGUACCCCGUCGUGGGGGAUAACGUAGCGAAAGUUACGCUAAUACCGUAUACGUCCUGAGGGAGAAAGCGGGGGACCGUAAGGCCUCGCGCGAUUGGAGCGGCAGGUGGCGGAUCAGCGAGUUGGUGGGGUAAAGGCCUACCAAGGCGACGAUCCGUAGCGGGUCUGAGAGGACGGCCCGCCACACUGGAACUGAGACACGGUCCAGACUCCUACGGGAGGCAGCAGUGGGGAAUUUUGGACAAUGGGCGAAAGCCUGAUCCAGCCAUUCCGCGUGAGUGAAGAAGGCCUUCGGGUUGUAAAGCUCUUUCGGCAGGGAAGAAACGGCUUGGGAUAAUACCCCGGGCUAAUGACGGUACCUGAAGAAGAAGCACCGGCUAACUACGUGCCAGCAGCCGCCGUAA
rnacentral:rRNA from 1 species